UAUUCGAUUUGAAUUUAUUGAAAAAACUGAUAUUAAAUAGAUUAUUAAGUUAAUUUUUAAUAAGUACUGGUAUUUUUAUCGUUAUUUGAGAUUAACUAAAAUUUUUUCGUUGGAUAUAAAUCCAACUCAAGAGACUAAGUGUUAAUAUAGCAGGAGAGACCUCAUUGAAGCCACAACUUUCCAACUUUUCGCAUCUAUUCAAUAAAUAAAAAUGCACUCUUUUUACAUAUACCAAAUUAAAGUAAUACAACUUUUAUUCAUUAAUUUAGUGGCAAAAAUUAACACUACCGCAAUCAGUUAUUAUAAACUAUGAAAUAUUUACUUAUAAAAUAUAAUAAUCACUUUUGUUUACAAUUUUUUUUUUUUUUUUUUUACCGAUCCAAACGGGGUUAGAUCGCCGAAAGAACAGCCCUUGGUCGGAUGAAAUCCGAGUCAAUUCCUGUCGUGGGAAUCAAUUAAAUUUUGUUUAUACAUGCUUGGGACCGUAUAAAUAAAAAAACAAAAUUUGAAUAGUUUCAUGUUACCUCAAAAUUUUCGACUAAUAGCGCAAAGCUUUUGUGGGUACAGAAGCUGAAAUGUGACAUAAGGAAGACUACUUAAAUGUAAUAAACUAUACUCAUACCACAAAUA